UACGGAGGGUGCAAGCGUUAAUCGGAAUUACUGGGCGUAAAGCGCGCGUAGGCGGCUCGAUCAGUCGGGUGUGAAAUCCCUGGGCUCAACCUGGGAACUGCAUUCGAUACUGUCGAGCUAGAGUGUGGGAGAGGGUAGUGGAAUUCCCGGUGUAGCGGUGAAAUGCGUAGAGAUGUGGAGGAACACCGAUGGCGAAGGCAGCCCCCUGGGUCAACACUGACGCUCAUGCACGAAAGCGUGGGGAGCAAACAGG
rnacentral:rRNA from 1 species